CCUACGGGUGGCAGCAGUGAGGAAUAUUGCACAAUGGGCGAAACACUGAUGCAGCGACGCCGCGUGAGUGAAGAAGUAUUUCGGUAUGUAAAGCUCUAUCAGCAGGGAAGAAAAUGACGGUACCUGAUUAAGAAGCCCCGGCUAAAUACGUGCCAGCAGCCGCGGUAAUACGUAGGGGGCAAGCGUUAUCCGGAUUUACUGGGUGUAAAGGGAGCGUAGACGGCAGGACAAGUCUGGAGUGAAAUGCCGGGGCUUAACCCCGGAACUGCUUUGGAAACUGUGCAGCUAGAGUGCAGGAGAGGUAAGUGGAAUUCCUGGUGUAGCGGUGAAAUGCGUAGAUAUUAGGAGGAACACCAGUGGCGAAGGCGGCUUACUGGACUGUAACUGACGUUGAGGCUCGAAAGCGUGGGGAGCGAACAGGAUUAGAUACCCGGGUAGUC
rnacentral:rRNA from 1 species